rnacentral:rRNA from 1 species
GAGGUAAAGGCUCACCAAGGCGACGAUGGAUAGCCGGCCUGAGAGGGUGAACGGCCACACUGGAACUGAGAUAAGGUCCAGUCCCCUACGGGGGCCAGUAGUCUAGAAAUUUGGGCAAUGGGGGAAACCCUGACCCAGAGACGCCACGUGGAGGAUGAAGCCCCUAGGGGUGUAAACUCCUGUCGAGAGGGAAGAACGCAAGAAAUAACUUUUCUUGUCUGACGGUACCUCUAAAGGAAGCCCCGGCUAACCUCGUGCCAGCAGCCGCGGUAAUACGAGGGGGGCAAGCGUUGUUCGGAUUUACUGGGCGUAAAGGGCGCGCAGGCGGAUUGUUAAGUCCUCUGUGAAAACUGUCGGCUCAACCAGCAGCCUGCAGAGGAAACUGGCGAUCUUGAGUAUGGAAGAGGAGAGCGGAAUCUCAGGUGUAGCGGUGAAAUGCGUAGAUAUCUGAGAGAACACCGGUGGCGAAGGCGGCUCUCUGGUCUAAUACUGACGCUGAGGCGCGAAAGCUAGGGGAGCGAACGGGAUUAGAUACCCCGGUAGUCCUAGCCGU